GCCGAGGGGACGGAGCGCUCCUCAAGUGGUGGCAGGGAGGCUCGUGGCCCCGCGUCGCUCUGGACAGGGGCACUUUGGGCACGAGGACGGGAGCGCGUGGUGUGAGCAGCUGGAGCACACCCUGGACGCGCGGGCUGCUGGCGGACUUCAACGGGAGCAUUAGGUGAGUCUGCUUGGAUCUGUGAGGACGGAAAAGAAGAGCUCCUAGAAGACUUAAAAUCUUGCUACAGGAAUAGGCCUUGGCCAUGUAAAAGUGCUUACAGUGCAGGUAGCUUUUUGAGAUCUACUGCAAUGCAAGCACUUCUUACAUUACCAUGGUGAUUUAAUCAAUGGCUACUGAGAACUGUAGUUUGUGCAUAAUUAAGUAGUUGAUGCUUUUGAGCUGCUUCUUAUAAUGUGUCUCUUGUGUUAAGGUGCAUCUAGUGCAGUUAGUGAAGCAGCUUAGAAUCUACUGCCCUAAAUGCCCCUUCUGGCACAGGCUGCCUAAUAUACAGCAUUUUAAAAGUAUGCCUUGAGUAGUCAUUUGAAUAGGACACGUUGCAAUGGUGUGUUUUUUGCUUUUUUAUUGUUUGUUGGGAACAGAUGGUGGGGACUGUGCAGUGUACAGUUGUGAACAGAGGAUAAGAUUGGGUCCUAGUAGUACCAAAGUGCUCAUAGUGCAGGUAGUUUUGGCAUGACUCUACUGUAGUGUGGGCACUUCCAGUACUCUUGGAUAGCAAAUCUCUUGUUGAUGGAGAGAAUAUUCAAAGACAUUGCUACUUACAAUUAGUUUUGCAGGUUUGCAUUUCAGCGUAUAUAUGUAUAUGUGGCUGUGCAAAUCCAUGCAAAACUGAUUGUGAUAAUGUGUGCUUCCUACAUCUGUGUGAACACACCUUCACGCGCAUCUCCGGCACUCAUGCCCAUUCAUCCCUGGGUGGGGAUUUGUUGCAUUACUUGUGUUCUAUAUAAAGUAUUGCACUUGUCCCGGCCUGUGGAAGAAAGGAGGAUUUUUAUCGUCUUCUUAUUUUAACUUUUAAAAGCUGUAAGUUCUGAUAUUUAGUCACUGUAAUAUGAUCUGUUUUGCUGUUGUCGGGUGGAUCACGAUGCAAUUUUGAUUAGUAUCAUAGGAGAAAAAUUGCACGGUAUCCAUCUGUAAACCGCAGGACCUUUGUUGGCGACAUUCCCGAUCAGCACUACAGUAAGAUAGAUGAUAAAAAAUCCUUAGUUGCUGCUAUUAAAAAAUAAUUUGACAUAUAUUUGGAUUUCUAAAAACUAUGAUAAUUAAUUUAUAAAGUAUGUGUUUUGGAACUUUGGUGAAUGAUCAGAUUGUUACUGAAUGUGAAUGAACCUCAAAAUAAAUGAAAUUUAUA